GACGAACGCUGGCGGCGUGCUUAACACAUGCAAGUCGAACGGAAAGGCCCUGCUUUUGUGGGGUGCUCGAGUGGCGAACGGGUGAGUAACACGUGAGUAACCUGCCCUUGACUUUGGGAUAACUUCAGGAAACUGGGGCUAAUACCGGAUAGGAGCUCCUGCUGCAUGGUGGGGGUUGGAAAGUUUCGGCGGUUGGGGAUGGACUCGCGGCUUAUCAGCUUGUUGGUGGGGUAGUGGCUUACCAAGGCUUUGACGGGUAGCCGGCCUGAGAGGGUGACCGGCCACAUUGGGACUGAGAUACGGCCCAGACUCCUACGGGAGGCAGCAGUGGGGAAUAUUGCACAAUGGGCGGAAGCCUGAUGCAGCAACGCCGCGUGCGGGAUGACGGCCCUCGGGUUGUAAACCGCUUUCGCCUGUGACGAAGCGUGAGGGACGGUAAUGGGUAAAGAAGCACCGGCUAACUACGU
rnacentral:rRNA from 1 species